UACGUAGGUGGCAAGCGUUGUUCGGAAUUAUUGGGCGUAAAGGGCGCGUAGGCGGUUUGUUAAGUCGGCUGUGAAAGCCCGGGGCUCAACCCCGGAGGGGCAGCCGAUACUGGCAGGCUAGAGUACGGAAGAGGUAGCUGGAAUUCCCGGUGUAGCGGUGAAAUGCGUAGAUAUCGGGAGGGACACCGGUGGCGAAGGCGGCAUCCUGGACCGGUAUUGACGCUGAUGCGCGAAAGCCAGGGGAGCAAACGGG
rnacentral:rRNA from 1 species